CAAUAGCGUAUAUUAAAGUUGUUGCGGUUAAAAAGCUCGUAGUUGGAUUUCUGUUGAGGUCGGCCGGUCCCUACUUCGUAGGCGUAUCUGGUUCAGCCUUGGCAUCCUCCUAGGGAACGGCACUGCUCUUAACUGAGUGGUCCGGUAUCUAGGACUUUUACUUUGAGGAAAUUAGAGUGUUUACGGCAGGCAAUCGCCUUGAAUAUGUUAGCAUGGAAUAAUAAUAUAGGACCUUGGUUCUAUUUUGUUGGUUUCUAGGACUAAGGUAAUGAUUAAUAGGGAUAUUUGGGGGCAUUCGUAUUAACCGGUCAGAGGUGGAAUUCUUGGAUUCGGUUACGACGAACUACCGCGAAAGCAUUUGCCAAGGAUGUUUUCAUUG
rnacentral:rRNA from 1 species